GUAGGUGGCAAGCGUUGUCCGGAAUUAUUGGGCGUAAAGCGCGCGCAGGCGGUUCUUUAAGUCUGAUGUGAAAGCCCACGGCUCAACCGUGGAGGGUCAUUGGAAACUGGAGAACUUGAGUACAGAAGAGGAAAGCGGAAUUCCACGUGUAGCGGUGAAAUGCGUAGAGAUGUGGAGGAACACCAGUGGCGAAGGCGGCUUUCUGGUCUGUAACUGACGCUGAGGCGCGAAAGCGUGGGGAGCAAACAGGGAUUAGAUACCCUGGUAGUCCACGCCGUAAACGAUGAGUGCUAAGUGUUAGGGGGUUUCCGCCCCCUUAGUGCUGCAGCUAACGCAUUUAGCACUCCGCCUGGGGAGUACGGCCGCAAGGCUG
rnacentral:rRNA from 1 species